rnacentral:rRNA from 2 species
UACGGAGGGUGCGAGCGUUGUCCGGAAUCACUGGGCGUAAAGGGCGCGUAGGCGGCCCGGUAAGUAGGAGGUGAAAUCCUGAGGCUCAACCUCAGGGCUGCCUUCUAAACUGCCAGGCUUGAGCACAGUAGAGGCAGGUGGAAUUCCCGGUGUAGCGGUGGAAUGCGUAGAGAUCGGGAAGAACAUCGGUGGCGAAGGCGGCCUGCUGGGCUGUUGCUGACGCUGAGGCGCGACAGCGUGGGGAGCAAACAGG